rnacentral:tRNA from 1 species
CCUGAUGGCUCAGUUGGUAGAGAAUCUGCCUGCAGUGCAGGAGACCCUGGUUUGAUUCCUGGGUCAGGA